rnacentral:rRNA from 1 species
GAGUUUGAUCCUGGCCAGGAUGAACGCUAGCGGCAGGCCUAAUACAUGCAAGACGAACGGUAAAUAUUUCAGCAAUGAGAUAUGAGAGUGUCGUAAGGGUGCGUAACACGUAUGCAAUCUGCCCUCAACAGGAGGAUAGCUCGGGGAAACUCGAAUUAACCCUCCAUAAGAAGGAGGAAUGGCAUCAUUUUUCUUUUAAAUCUACGGAGGUUGAGGAUGAGCAUGCGUCUGAUUAGCUAGUUGGUAGGGUAAUGGCCUACCAAGGCGAUGAUCAGUAGGGGAACUGAGAGGUUGAUCCCCCACACUGGCACUGAGAUACGGGCCAGACUCCUACGGGAGGCAGCAGUAGGGAAUAUUGGACAAUGGGUGAAAGCCUGAUCCAGCCAUGCCGCGUGCAGGAAGAAGGCCUUCUGGGUUGUAAACUGCUUUUGCCAGGGGAUAAAAAGGGCUUGCGAGCCAAAUUGAAGGUACCUGGUGAAUAAGCCACGGCUAACUACGUGCCAGCAGCCGCGUUA